rnacentral:rRNA from 1 species
GUCUCUAAGCAAUGGAUGUCUUGGCUCCUCACACGAUGAAGAACGUGGCAUAAUGUGUUAAGUAACCGGAGUUGCAAACAUCAUGACAGGUUAAUCUUUGAAUGCAAAUUGCGCUAAACUCGAUCUCGGUCGAG